rnacentral:rRNA from 1 species
GUGCCAGCCGCCGCGGUAAUACGGAGGGUGCAAGCGUUAUCCGGAAUCACUGGGCGUAAAGGGCGCGUAGGCGGCCUACUAAGUCUGAUGUUAAAGCGUGGGGCUCAACCCCAUCAUGGCGUUGGAUACUGGCAGGCUAGACGACUGGAGAGGAAGGUAGAAUUACCAGAGUAGCGGUGGAAUGCGUAGAUACUGGUAGGAAUACCCAUAGCGAAGGCAGCCUUCUGGACAGUUAGUGACGCUGAGGCGCGAAAGUGUGGGGAGCAAACCGGAUUAGAAACCCUUGUAGUCC